rnacentral:lncRNA from 1 species
AGGAUGUGGUGGGGGCCAUGAAGGGUUUAAGCAGAAGAGGGACACAUCACAAUCGAUGGGUCGUCUGGGCAGCUGUGGGGUGCACAGACGCGGGGCACCUGCAGGCAGGAACAGUCAGGAAGCUGUUUUCAUUAGUCUAGGCCAGAAAGAGCUAUGAGUUCCUCGCAGUGGCCACAGGGUUAGAGAAGCGAAGAUGGCUCCUCAAGACUUAGAACGCUCUUAAGUCGCUAACCCAUGGGGUGCGGCAGUGGGGGACAGGGCGGGGUCUAAGUUAAAGGCAAGCAGCCGCGCGGCGGGGCUGCCUGCAGACCGCUCCCGCUUACUCGCACCUCUCGGCCUCUGUGGCAGCUCCGUGCUUUUCCUGGGCGUCUCUCUCCUCCCCUGUUGCCCUCUUUUCUGGCUCAGAUCACCUCCGCGGUUUCACUUCUUCAUCUUGCUUAAAGGCCUUGUAGAGGUGGCAGGUUAUCUGGGGCUGCAGCCUGAACAUAGGAAGUCCUCGCCCAGCUUUGUCUAGACGGCUGAGAUCCCCGGCCCGGGCGGAGGCCCCUUGGGCCCCUCUGGGUCCUUGACAUCGUUCGUGGAGCCUCAGCAGGUCUGUCCCCCGGGAAGCCAAGGUGGGACAUCAGCCUGGCGGCUGGCCAAGUCAUGGAGAACCGCCUGCCCAUCUUUGAGCCAUAACACUCACGCUGGAAGUCAACAAGGGAAAUGGAAAGGCAGAGACCAACCUCCUCCGCGGGCACGCGCCCUGGGACCCAUGCCAGCGCGCAUGCGGCUUCCGGGCCUCUGCUUUCCAAAGGCCCAGGAGAGCGAGGCUCUGCGACUGCCCCCAGGGAGAGAGCCCAAGUACAGGAUUUCCAGGCUCCCUCUUCUCAACGUGCGCAGCUUCUUCCUCCAGCACCAGAAUUGGGAACCGCAAUAUCUUUCUGUUGGGCAGCGCUGUUCCAGCCACUGUGUUUGUGCAACAAUGCAGCGGGCUGUCUCACCAGGCGGUCAGCCUCCCCUCACUGGAGAUGUUAACGAAAGGCAUUGGUAAUAGACUUCUUGUAGCAAGAUGGAUGAACUCCGUAAUCCCUCCAGCUCUGACUCAACCAUGGUUCCCAGUCAGUGCCUUCAAAUAUGAAUAGAUGGUACAGGAAAAAAAGAUUGAUGAUCAACUUAACACGGGAAAUUCUUGAUUGAAAAAAAGUUGAGUUCCUUCGUUCCAAGUCUUCUCAGAACCUUCUAGACACAAAAGUGCACCAUGGUUUUUGUGACGGGGACACUGUCAGAGGCAUUCCCCAUAUUAAACCGGUCACAGAGCCUUCUUUUCCCAGAGCAUGACCAGGAAAUAAUGUAUGUUUAAGUUCCUUCCUCGAGAACUACUGUCUUCAAGGUCUCAAAAGAACGUGGGUUCUUUGUCAGCACUGAGUUCAAAUUUUGGCUCAAAUCCUAGGUGACCUCAGACGUAUUACUUGACCUUCAUGAACUAUAAAAUGAGUGGAAGACUAUCACCUGUCAGUAUAGCUUGGAGGGUGACAUUUAAAAAGCACAUAGAAAAUGUAGCGCCGUGCCGGAUGCAAGCUCAGAGAAGAAGGUACUGUUGGCCAGACCGCGUCACAGAAGAGGAAACACGGGCCACAGAGGGCUCGCCUGUGUGCCUCUGAUCACACAGCUGGGAAGGCACUGAGCUGGAGUUCAGCCCCAGGCAGCCUUGCUCAGACCCCACCCCUCAGCCACUCUGUUCUGAGGGUUUGGGGCACCUGCCUGGGCGUGCAGGAGAUGAGACUGGCCACAUAAGCAGGAAUAAGGUCCGAAGGGUCUUCCUUUCUUCACAAGGCCUUAGAUGUUCUUGAUCCAAGGACCCUGCACCUCUUGGGAUCCGUGAAAGUAACAGUGCCGUGGUGCGUGUGUACAUGUGUGUGUGCACAUGUGUGUGUGCGCAUGCUGAGGAAGGCCAUCUGCCUUUCUCUAUAAGGAGGCCGUAUGAGGAAACGAUGCAGCAACUUUGCUUUUGACUGGACCUGGAUCUGCUCGCUAUAGGAACAGUGGGUGUCGGACGCUCAGCGCAUGCUCUUGGUUUCGGCGUCAGUACUUGAAUCCUUGUUCAUUUUCUGCAUUCCCUCCCCAGACUUGUAAGUCCAUGAGGACAGAGCUCUUGUCUGCCUUCUUCUCCAUCAUCUCCAGUACCCAGCACAGUGCUUGGCACAUAGUAGUUACUCAAUAAAUAUUUGUUGAAUGAA